GAUGAAGAACGUAGCGAAAUGCGAUACGUAGUGUGAAUUGCAGAAUUCAGUGAAUCAUCGAAUCUUUGAACGCACAUUGCACCUCUCGGUAUUCCGGGAGGUAUGCCUGUUCGAGCGUCAGUUGUACCCUCAAGCUCUGCUUGGUGUUGGGUGUUUGUUCCGCCUCUGUGUGUGAACUCGCCUCAAAACAAUUGGCAGCCGGCGUACUUGUUUCGGAGCGCAGCACAUUUUGCGAUCCAGAUCAACGUACAGCGGCAUCCAAGAAGCCUUAUUUAACGCUCUUGACCUCGGAUCAGGUAGGGAUACCCGCUGAACUUAAGCAUAUCAAUAAGCGGAGGA
rnacentral:misc_RNA from 1 species